ACCGCUCAGUAACACGUGGACAACCUACCCAAAGAUCUGGGAUAACUCCGGGAAACUGGGGAUAAUACCGGAUAGGUCAAGAGUACAGGAAGGGUUUUUUGAUUGAAAGCUCUGGCGCCUUUGGAUGGGUCUGCGGCUGAUUAGGUUGACGCCGGUGUAAAGUACCGGCGUGCCGAUUAUCAGUACGGGUUGUGGGAGCAAGAGCCCGGAGAUGGAUUCUGAGACACGAAUCCAGGCCCUACGGGGCGCAGCAGGCGCGAAAACUCUACAAUGCAGGCAACUGCGAUAGGGGAACAUCGAGUGGCAUCUACAUUAGGUGUCUGUCCAGCUGUCUAAAAAACGGCUGUUAGCAAGGGCCGGGCAAGACCGGUGCCAGCCGCCGCGGUAAUACCGGCGGCUCGAGUGGUGGCCGAUAUUAUUGAGUCUAAAGGGUCCGUAGCCGGCUUUGCAAGUCUUGUGGGAAAUCCAGCGGCUUAACCGUUGGGCGUCUGCGGGAUACUACAUUGCUUGGGACUGGGAGAGGUAGGAGGUACUCAGGGGGUAGGAGUGAAAUCCUGUAAUCCUCUGGGGACCACCGGUGGCGAAGGCGUCCUACCAGAACAGGUCCGACGGUGAGGGACGAAAGCUAGGGGCACGAACCGGAUUAGAUACCCGGGUAGUCCUAGCCGUAAACGAUGCCCGCUAGGUGUCACGGCAGUCGUGAACUGCCGUGGUGCCGUAGGGAAGCCGUGAAGCGGGCCACUUGGGAAGUACGACCGCAAGGUUGAAACUUAAAGGAAUUGGCGGGGGAGCAC
rnacentral:rRNA from 1 species